CUUCCCCUUCCUUCCCGUGCCGAUGUGCACGCUUGCCGGCGACCGGAGUCGUCGGAUUUUGUUGUAAAAAAAAUCUUUAUUUUUGCCGUUUUCCGUCACCGGUGGUCACCGCUGACCACCGGUUUGGCCGUCUCUUGCCGUCGGAUCAUCUCUCCUUUGGCUGCCGACCAUCCCCGCACCGGCUGUGCCGCCGGCCGGCCAACCAAGGAGGGGAUCAAAGAUCCCCUGUUUCGGUCAAAAAUAAGCCACGGGAAGAAAAGAAAAGAAGAAGGAANN
rnacentral:lncRNA from 1 species